UUGAUUUGAAAGGCGCUUUCGGGUGUCGCUGAUGGAUGGACCCGCGGUGCAUUAGCUAGUUGGUGAGGUAACGGCUCACCAAGGCCACGAUGCAUAGCCGACCUGAGAGGGUGAUCGGCCACAUUGGGACUGAGACACGGCCCAAACUCCUACGGGAGGCAGCAGUAGGGAAUCUUCGGCAAUGGACGAAAGUCUGACCGAGCAACGCCGCGUGAGUGAAGAAGGUUUUCGGAUCGUAAAACUCUGUUGUUAGAGAAGAACAAGGAUGAGAGUAACUGUUCAUCCCUUGACGGUAUCUAACCAGAAAGCCACGGCUAACUACGUGCCAGCAGCCGCGGUAAUACGUAGGUGGCAAGCGUUGUCCGGAUUUAUUGGGCGUAAAGCGAGCGCAGGCGGUUUCUUAAGUCUGAUGUGAAAGCCCCCGGCUCAACCGGGGAGGGUCAUUGGAAACUGGGAGACUUGAGUGCAGAAGAGGAGAGUGGAAUUCCAUGUGUAGCGGUGAAAUGCGUAGAUAUAUGGAGGAACACCAGUGGCGAAGGCGGCUCUCUGGUCUGUAACUGACGCUGAGGCUCGAAAGCGUGGGGAGCAAACAGGAUUAGAUACCCUGGUAGUCCACGCCGUAAACGAUGAGUGCUAAGUGUUGGAGGGUUUCCGCCCUUCAGUGCUGCAGCUAACGCAUUAAGCACUCCGCCUGGGGAGUACGACCGCAAGGUUGAAACUCAAAGGAAUUGACGGGGGCCCGCACAAGCGGUGGAGCAUGUGGUUUAAUUCGAAGCAACGCGAAGAACCUUACCAGGUCUUGACAUCCUUUGACCACUCUAGAGAUAGAGCUUCCCCUUCGGGGGCAAAGUGACAGGUGGUGCAUGGUUGUCGUCAGCUCGUGUCGUGAGAUGUUGGGUUAAGUCCCGCAACGAGCGCAACCCUUAUUGUUAGUUGCCAUCAUUCAGUUGGGCACUCUAGCAAGACUGCCGGUGACAAACCGGAGGAAGGUGGGGAUGACGUCAAAUCAUCAUGCCCCUUAUGACCUGGGCUACACACGUGCU
rnacentral:rRNA from 1 species